rnacentral:rRNA from 1 species
GAUGAACGCUGGCGGCGUGCUUAACACAUGCAAGUCGAACGGGAUCCAAGGGGUGCUUGCACUUUUUGGUGAGAGUGGCGAACGGGUGAGUAACACGUGAGUAACCUGUCCUUUUCUUUGGGAUAAGCAUUCGAAAGGGUGUUUAAUACCUUAUGUUCUGUCUGCCUCGCAUGGGGUGGGUGGUAAAGGCUUUGGCCGGGUUUGGGUGGGCUCGCGGUCUAUCGGGUUGGUGGUGGGGUGAUGGCUGAUCAAGGCUUUGACGGGUAGCGGGCGUGAGAGGGCGUUCGGUCACAGCGGGCCUGAGAGGCGCCGCAGACUCGCGCGGGCGGCAGCAGUGGGCGAUAGUGCAGAAUGGGCGAAAGCCUGAUGAAGCGAGGCCGCGUGGCGGCUGAAGGCGUAUGGCGUGUAAACUUCUUUUGCCCUGAACAAGGCAUGACAGUGGGUGUGUUGCGUGUAGGGGUGGAUUAGCGCCGGCUAACUACGUG